UACGUAGGGGGGCAGCGUCGUUCGGAUUCGAUUUGGUGGCGUAAAGAGCGUGUAGGCGGCCAGGUAGGUCUGCUGUGAAAACUCGAGGCUCAACCUCGAGACGUCGGCGGAAACCAUCUGGCUAGAGUCCGGAAGAGGAGAGUGGAAUUCCUGGUGUAGCGGUGAAAUGCGCAGAUAUCAGGAAGAACACCCGUGGCGAAGGCGGCUCUCUGGGACGGUACUGACGCUGAGACGCGAAAGCGUGGGGAGCGAACAGG
rnacentral:rRNA from 1 species